CCACCGCCAUGUUCAUUUGGGCAAUCAUUCAACAAUACUUCCCUUACCAUCUUCGUGCCCACAUCGAACGAUACGCUUACAAAUUUCUUGGCUUUCUUAAUCCUUACAUCACAAUCAUUUUCCCUGAAUACACCGGCCAGCGUCUCCGGAAAAGUGAAGCCUUUACCGCUAUUCAGAAUUACCUCAGUUCACGAACCUCAAUUCGAGCUAAGCGUCUAAAGGCAGAGGCGAUCAAAAAUAGCAAAUCUUUGGUUCUUAGUAUGGAUGAUAAUGAAGAAGUUAUUGAUGAAUUUCAAGGCGUUAAGAUUUGGUGGACUUCUAGUAAAACCGUACCCAAAACUCAGAGUAUAUCUUACUACCCUACUUCCGAUGAGAGACGGUUUUACAAACUGACGUUUCACCGGCGACACAGAGAAACCAUUCUUGACUCUUUUAUUCAUCAUAUUAUGGAAGAAGGAAAGGCCGUCGAGUUGAAAAACCGGCAACGGAAGCUUUAUAUGAACAAUUCCGGUGAGAGUUGGUGGCAUAAAAGUAGUUGGAGACAUGUACCUUUUGAGCAUCCAGCCAAUUUCCGUACUCUGGCUAUGGAUCCGAAGAAGAAACAAGAGAUUGUGAAUGAUUUAGUGAAGUUUAAGAAUGGGAAAGAGUAUUAUGAGAAAGUGGGAAAAGCUUGGAAACGUGGGUAUCUUCUGUACGGUCCACCAGGAACAGGGAAAUCCACCAUGAUAGCUGCCAUGGCGAAUUUUAUGGAGUAUGAUGUUUAUGAUCUUGAGCUGACGUCUGUUAAGGAUAAUACAGAGUUGAAGAAGUUGUUGAUCGAGAUUUCUAAUAAAUCCAUUAUUGUGAUUGAGGAUAUUGAUUGUUCACUUGAUCUUACGGGGCAACGGAAGAAGAAGAAGAAAACAGAGGAGGAGGAAGAUGAAGCGAAGAAGGAGAUUGAGAAGAAGGCUAAAGAGGAAGAGAAGAAAGAGAGCAAAGUGACGCUCUCUGGGCUGUUGAAUUUCAUAGACGGAAUUUGGUCAGCGUGUGGUGGAGAGAGGUUGAUUAUUUUCACGACGAAUCACAAGGAAAAGCUUGACGAAGCUUUGAUAAGAAGAGGAAGAAUGGACAAACAUAUAGAGAUGUCUUAUUGUGGUUUCGAAGCAUUCAAAGUUCUUGCAAUGAAUUACUUGGAUGUUGAAUGGGAUGAUUCAUACGAUAAAAUUAAGGAGAUGCUAAAAGAGAUAGAAAUGACACCGGCAGACGUGGCGGAGAAUUUGAUGCCAAAAUACGAAGGGGAAGAAACAGGCGAGUGUUUCAAGAGAUUGAUCGAGGGACUUGAGGAUGCAAAAGUGGCAGCUGAGAAGAAGAAAGCAGAUGAAGAAGCUGAAGCAGCAAAAAUGGCAGAGAAAGAGAAGGAGAAGAAGGAAAAAGAGGAGGAGAAGAAAGCUGAGGAAGAAGCAGAAGCUGCUAAAAAGGAAGAGGAGAAGAAGAAGGAAGAAGAAGAAUCGGGCGAGAAGAAAGAAUGUAGUAAAUGCAAUGGGGUAGCAACAAGAGAGGUGAAGGAGAAUGGUCAUGUGGAGAAGAAACAGAACAAUUGAAAAAGAAAAGCAAUGUACGAGCUUGAUGUAUGAAAUUGAAGGUUUAGAUUAGUUUAUUUGUAGAGUCGAUUGGUGUGUUUAUAAAAAAAUGGUUCACUGAUUAUCCGUUGCCAUAUUCUAAUUUUUGACAAAUAUAUAUAUAUAUAUUUCCUCCAUCGAUGGAAUUACCCCAGAAGACCCUACGGUUUUUUUUCAUAGCCAAUUUGUUUUGAUAAAAUAUUUAUACAAUAUAAUAAAAUUUUAGAUUAAAAUAUUUUAUUCUAUAUUCAAAUGAGAAACAAAUAAAAUUUUAAAAUAAUUAUUAUAAAUUUUCAAAUGAGCAUAAAAUAUAUAUAAUUGAGUCAAAAUAUGGGUGUGCUUAUAUAUUAAAUUAUUUUGAUAUAUAGAGAAAUAAAAUAAAGGUAGACCAUAUGUAUAGUAUAUUCAGGAGAAUUUUAAAGCUUCACAAUGCCAAGAGUCACACUCUAUACACAAUCUCUCUCUUACUAUAUGUUUGUUAUAGUUGAAAUUAUUCUUUAUCAUAAUAUUUUAUAGGUUGUUGUUUUUAAAUAUAGCAAAAUAAAUUAAAAAUAGAAUAAAGAAAAUCUAGAAAAUGAACUGUACAAAUUUGGAAUAGAAAAUGAAUAAAUGGCAAUAAAGAAAUGAUAAAUUGUUCGAAAUCUAAAAUUUAUGAAAAAUGUUUUACUGACUUUAUUGGUUUUUCGUUUUUGUUACACGGACCAUAACUAUUUUGAUCUUUUGUUAUAUUUAUGAAAAUUAAUCUUUUUAAAAACUUAUCUUAAGAAAAAAUAUAACUUUGGACAAAAUUAAUUCAUAGUACCUAAUUUGAGUAUUUGUCGCCCCUUUUUAAAUUUACAAAACUUCUUUUGAGUAACUAAUCCAAACAAAGCUUAGUUCAUGCUAAUUGGCACAGCCAAUCUAAUCCAAAAAAUUAUUGAUAUUAUUUUUAAUAUAUAGUAUAUUUUAUUUAAUUAGUCUUUUAGGGUUUUCAAUUCUUUUUUUCUCAAUAAUUAGAAACCACCCAAUAUUAACUAUAUUUUCCACUCGGACCAUCAAAUUGGUCGACUUCGACCGUUUCAGUCCGUUUAAAGCGAUGUUUUCAGUGUUUCCUCGUAAUAUAUCUUGUGGAAAAAUAAGAGCUUAUUUGUUAGAGAAUCCAAAUUUUGUUUUAUGUUUUUAGAUUCACUGUAGUAGAUAUCCAUUUGGCAGAAAAUCUAUAUUCUAUUUAUGAAUUUAGCAGACAGUCGAGAUUCUUUUUCUAAAAAUUAUUUUUGGAUUUUAAGAUUCAAACAAUGCAAAUUUUGAAAACAACACGUUUUUAUAUUUUUAUUGUAUCUAGAAUCUAACUUUUACAAUUAAAAAAGCAUAAUUAAAUUAAUUAUAUUUAAAAUAUCUAAAUGUUAUAUAAAUUUUUAGGUGAAAUUACAAAUUUGAUAGAAGAUAGAAUUGAGUGGUUUAUAACUUGAAUUUAGUUGAUUUAGUUCACUAAAAUCAUACAAAAUAGUCUUACUUGUCAUGACUAACUUUUUACUGAAGUUUUCAUGACUAACAUUUUACUAAGGUUCUCAGACCAUAAUAUUAUAUUUGAUAUUUUAUCAAACUAUAAGUUAAAGUUUAAAUUUCUCCAAACAAUAUGUUCUACCAUUGCAAUGUAACUGGUUUUGUAAACAUAAAUUGUAUUCAUAAAUAAAUUAAUAAUAUCUAAUUCUCAAUUAAGAUAAUCUUAAUGAAUAAAUAUAACUUUAAGAAGUAUAUAAUAGGAAACAUAUUUAGACAUUUUUUAAAACUAGAUAUCAAUUUUACAUAUUUGAAAACAGAUAAUAAGUUUCUGUUUUUGGACAUCCAACGAGCAUCUUCUCUUCUGGUAAAGUCGAGCAUUAGUAUGAGCAUGAUGUUGCUCUUCAAAUAUUUCUUUUGCAGGGGGUUUAGCAGCCAUGAAAACAUAAAUUAAUACAAACCAACUUUCCUUAAUUAAUAACUAAACUAUAAGUCUAUAAUAAUAAUAAUGGUGACUCCUUAGUAUUCUUAAACAAAGACUUCCCACUCUUCCACAAAUUCCCCUCCUCCACUCCUCCACUCCUCCACUCCUCCUCUCCUCCUCUCCUCCUCUCCUCCUCUCCUCAUUCUUCUUAUUUAAACCCCCUUUUCCUUCUCAAAUUCUCCACCAAUAAACCUUUUAAUUCAACAAUUUUCUCAAACAAACAUGACUCAAUUGGCCAUGGGACACCUCUGGAACAAUAUCGGCUCUUUAAUGGCCACCGCCAUGUUCGUUUGGGCAAUCAUCCAACAAUACUUCCCUUACCAUCUCCGUGCCUACAUCGAACGAUACGCUCACAAGUUUAUUGGGUUUCUUUAUCCUUACAUCACAAUCACUUUCCCUGAAUACACCGGCCAGCGUCUCCGGAAAAGUGAAGCCUUUACCGCUAUUCAGAAUUACCUCAGUUCACGAACCUCAAUUCGAGCUAAGCGUCUGAAAGCAGAGGCGGUCAAAGAUAGCAAAUCUUUGGUUCUUAGUAUGGAUGAUAAUGAAGAAGUUAUUGAUGAAUUUCAAGGCGUUAAGAUUUGGUGGACUUCCCGUAAAACCGU
rnacentral:lncRNA from 1 species